rnacentral:rRNA from 1 species
UACGGAGGGAGCUAGCGUUGUUCGGAAUUACUGGGCGUAAAGCGCACGUAGGCGGCUUUGUAAGUUAGAGGUGAAAGCCCGGGGCUCAACUCCGGAACUGCCUUUAAGACUGCAUCGCUUGAAUCCAGGAGAGGUGAGUGGAAUUCCGAGUGUAGAGGUGAAAUUCGUAGAUAUUCGGAAGAACACCAGUGGCGAAGGCGGCUCACUGGACUGAUAUUGACGCUGAGGUGCGAAAGCGUGGGGAGCAAACAGG